CACCAGUCCCUCUCUCUCUCUCUCUAUCUCUCUCUCUCUCUCAGUCUGUCUCUCUCCUUACAUGCAGAAGAAUUGCUCUCCAUGAGUCGCUCCGCUUCACUCACGGCUGGAUUUGUGCGUUUAUGAUUCUCCUCAAACUGCUCGUUUUCUAAGGCUUGAUUUUUGAGGCAGGAGAGAAAAUGGCUCAAAGCGCGCUGCUUUUUUUAUUAUGGCUAUUCGGCACAUCCCUCGCUGGCUUCCCCAAUCAGAUCAAUAUCGGUGGGCUCUUCAUGCGUUCCACCGUGCAAGAACACAGUGCUUUCAGAUUCGCUGUGCAGCUCUACAACACCAACCAGAACACGACAGAAAAACCCUUCCAUCUCAAUUACAACGUAGAUAACCUGGAGUCCUCCAACAGUUUCUCUGUCACUCAUGCAUUUUGUUCGCAGUUCUCCAGAGGGGUAUAUGCCAUCUUCGGCUUCUAUGACAAGAAGUCCAUGAACACGCUGACCUCCUUCUGCGGGGCCCUCCACACCUCCUUCGUCACACCCAGCUACCCCAUCGACUCAGAUGUGCAGUUUGUCAUCCAGAUGCGCCCUCCACUGAAGGGCACCAUCCUGAGUCUACUGUCUCACUACAAGUGGGACAAGUUUGUCUACCUCUAUGACACAGACAGAGGAUUUUCCAUUCUUCAAGCCAUUAUGGAGGCUGCAGUGGCAAACAACUGGCAAGUUACAGCGCGGUCAGUGGGCAGCAUCACGGACCCCCAGGAGUUCCGCCGCAUUAUUGAGGAAAUGGACAGGAGACAGGAGAAGCGCUUCCUCAUCGACUGUGAAGUGGACAGAAUCAAUGUCAUCUUGGAGCAGGUUGUGGCACUCGGAAAGAACAGUAGAGGCUACCAUUAUGUUAUUGCCAAUCUGGGCUUCACCAACAUCAGCCUGGACAAGGUCUUUCUCGGUGGAGCGAACAUUAGUGGCUUCCAGAUAAUCAAUCCUGAAAACUCAGUUGUACAACAGUUUCUCCAGAGAUGGGACCGUCUAGAUGAAAGAGAGUUUCCUGAAGCUAGAAACACACCUCUGAAGUACACUUCAGCGCUGUCUUAUGAUGCUAUCCUGGUCAUUGCGGAGGCGUUCCGGUACCUGCGACGCCAGCGAGUAGAUGUGUCCAGACGAGGCAGUGCAGGUGAUUGCCUGGCUAACCCUGCAGUCCCUUGGAGCCAAGGCAUCGACAUUGAACGAGCUCUCAAAAUGGUCCAGGUGCAAGGGAUGACUGGUAAUAUCCAGUUUGACAGCUUUGGUCGCAGAUCAAACUACAGUAUUGAUGUUUAUGAAAUGAAAACAGGUGGCCCAAGAAAAAUCGGAUACUGGAACGAGUUUGAGCGCUUUGUUAAUAUAAUGGAUCAGCAGUACAGCAACGAUUCCUCAGUGGAAAACCGAACAAUUGUGGUCACUACUAUUAUGGAAGCACCAUAUGUGAUGUACAAGAAAAACCACAUGCAUCUGGAAGGCAAUGACAAGUAUGAAGGCUACUGUGUCGAUUUAGCUUCCGAGAUUGCAAAACAUGUUGGGAUUAAAUACAGACUGUCCAUAGUCAUGGAUGGAAAAUAUGGUGCCCGCGACCCUGAAACCAAGACUUGGAACGGGAUGGUGGGUGAACUAGUCUAUGGGAGAGCAGAUAUAGCCGUCGCACCAUUAACGAUCACGCUUGUGCGAGAGGAAGUCAUUGACUUUUCUAAGCCCUUCAUGAGUUUGGGCAUCUCCAUUAUGAUCAAGAAACCUCAGAAGUCCAAACCGGGUGUGUUCUCAUUCCUGGACCCUCUGGCAUAUGAGAUCUGGAUGUGUAUCGUAUUCGCAUACAUCGGCGUCAGCGUGGUGCUGUUCCUCGUGAGCCGCUUCAGCCCCUACGAGUGGCACCUGGAUGAGACUGAUGAAGCCAAAGACCCCCAGACCUCUCCAGACCCGCCUAAUGACUUUGGGAUUUUUAACAGCCUGUGGUUCUCUCUAGGGGCCUUCAUGCAGCAGGGCUGUGAUAUCUCACCAAGGUCCUUAUCGGGCAGAAUAGUGGGAGGCGUCUGGUGGUUCUUCACCCUCAUCAUAAUCUCGUCCUACACGGCUAACCUGGCUGCUUUCCUCACAGUAGAGAGGAUGGUCUCUCCCAUAGAGAGCGCUGAAGAUCUAGCCAAACAAACAGAGAUCGCAUACGGAACCUUGGACUCAGGGUCAACCAAAGAGUUCUUUAGGCGUUCCAAAAUAGCAGUGUAUGAAAAAAUGUGGUCGUACAUGAAAUCGGCCGAGCCCUCCGUCUUCGCCAAGACCACGCCCGACGGGGUGGCACGGGUACGAAAGUCGAAGGGCAAAUUCGCCUUUCUUCUCGAAUCCACCAUGAACGAAUACAUUGAGCAGAGGAAGCCCUGCGACACCAUGAAAGUGGGCGGCAAUCUGGACUCUAAGGGCUAUGGUGUGGCCACCCCCAAAGGCUCAGCAUUAAGAAAUGCUGUUAACCUGGCAGUUUUAAAACUGAAUGAGCAAGGCCUGUUGGACAAAUUGAAAAACAAAUGGUGGUACGACAAGGGAGAGUGCGGCAGCGGGGGAGGUGACUCCAAGAACUCCUGUAAACCUUGCAGUAUUGAAACUCAGUGAACAAGGCAUCUUAGCCAAGCUGAAAAACAAAUGGUGGUACGAUAAGGGUGAAUGUGGAACCAAGGACUCGGGAAGUAAGGUCAGUCGCUGCAGGUCUUUUGUACUGAUUCCAAAAAGUGCAUUUUGACAUAUUGUUCAUAUGCAAGGAACAAACCAAUAGUCAAUAUCUUGAUUUAACCCAUGUGUAGUAGAUUUAAUUGUGGCCACAUAUAAGGAAACCAUAAGGACGUGUGGCCUAGAGUUUUGCACGAUUCCCCAUCAUUUCCAAUAAUCAGCAAAGGGAUACUUAUGAGACAUAUGUUUCUGUUGUUGUUGUUUUUCUUCUUCAGUAUUUCGUCCAGUGAAUGCCCUCAGAUUAAGCUGUAAUGAUAAAUCUAAUGGGGAUUUAGUUAAAAGUGCAAAUUGAUCGCCUGAUUAGAUUAAUUUCUGCAUAUCAAUUGUCUUUCUUGCUUAUUUACACAUGACUCAAUAACCAUUAUGCUGCAGUUCUUAUUCACCAAACUUCGAAUUUAAAAUUUGAUGUAUUAGUGUUGUUACUUAUUUGUCUAUUACCCAAGAAAAAAAGACUUGUUCAUUUAUUGAACCUCAUAUAUCAGUUAUCCACAAAUGCCAUUUCUCAUUGUGACAAAGAGUUUCGAUGCAAGUUUCUUUAGACAAGCGAAGGUCGACUAGUCUUAUGAUGUGAAGGUGAUUUGUAGUAACAGACAAAACUGAAUAGUAAAAAUGCAGCAGUUAAACGGCCGCUGUAUAAAACAAGCUAGAUAAAAACGGCAAAUAGUGUAAUACUAAUGGACAAAUUUUUAAUGGACAAGUUUGGGGGGUAAACUGCAGCAGAAUGGUUCAUUCUGAUUCUUAAAUUCAGUACUCUGGUGUAGAAAAUAUGUCAAAAUAUGAAUUUGAAGGUUUAAUAAUGGAAAGGCAGUAAGGUUAUUAAGUUAGAGGUCUGACCUGUAUGUAACUGACCAGCUUCCUCAGAUACAUGAAGAAGCCAAUGAGAAGAUCAGGUUAGAGAAACCAUCUACAUUCACCAGUUAUGGUCCUAAUUGUCUCAUUUGUCUUUAAAUGACAUUGAGCUAGACGUCUAGACACAGAUGGAUAUUUUGGCUUUAAUCUCUCCAUUGGAAUCUAGAUUCCUCUGCUAGCGGUAGAAAUGUCAUUUAUAGCCAGUAGUCCUGCUUGAUAGAACAUGUGAGGAGUUGUACAGGAUAGUGUGUUUUGUGUCAGGAUUGCUACUGUAAGAUAUGCUAACUAUGUCCCUCGCUUCUCUUAGGACAAGACAAGUGCACUGAGCCUGAGCAAUGUUGCUGGCGUCUUCUAUAUUCUGGUGGGUGGACUAGGGCUGGCCAUGAUGGUGGCUUUGAUAGAGUUCUGUUACAAAUCACGUGCAGAAGCCAAACGGUUGAAACUUGAAAAGAACACCCAAAACUAUAAGCCAGCCCCGCCAGCCAACACCCAAAACUUCGCCACGUACCGAGAAGGCUACAACGUGUACGGAACAGAGAGCGUAAAGAUCUAAUGGACGGCAGUCUGACAGCGUGGUGUGACACCUCACAGAGGCGGCUGGAUCUUCAGGAGGGAUCGCCCCCUCUCUCCAUACACAUCAGCUCCAGCCGACACAGCACGCUCCUGCACGGACCGGCGCAAGAAUUGGAAUCGAUUUCUUCAGUGCCUUAUGGAAUAUUCAGAGUAUCACACUGAUGCAAAUUCCUGGCUGAAGCAUUGCAUCACUCCAAUCACUCAACCCACAGAAUGCCAUCAUCAUCAUCCCUGUGAAAUAAAAAAAACUCCAUGGACAGCGAGAAAUAAAGCCAUCACUUGCGAUCUUAGCACACCGAAUGAGCCAAUCUGACUCGAGACGUCUUCUCUGGACUUUGUGGAACCCGGAGUUCGAGCAAACGCUUGUAAUACUGUAAAUUUGCUUUCACACUUGUUCAAUCAGUGUAUUCAUUGAUCAGAUCAUGAACUGGUUCAAUUCCAGAUCAGGAUCUGUGAGUCGGUCAGAUAUGUUGCAGCAUAUCACGUGCUUUUCUUUUGUCUGAUCUAUAUUUCUCAGAAGUUCAGCUGGAAGUUCAGAAGCUAUAGCUAAACCCCAUUUGACAUUCAAUAAUGGUGUUCUCACACGCGAGUUUUACAAAACCAAAAAUCGCCACACGACUUCAUUCACACACACAUGUGCUUACAGACACAACCUUUUGUAGUUAUCACAGCAUACUGUACAAGAAACUGAAGCUAUAAUUCAGAUCGCAUUAAUGUAGAUAAACUGCAACUCACAAAAGGACAUGGCUUUUACAAUGUGGUAUUUGAUUACCUCACGUUUUUCCAAAUAUAAUUCGCACAUAAAAUCAAGCUUUUAUUUGACGAGCAUUAUUAGUGUUUGGUGAAUUAUUUAGCAAACGAGACUAGGAUUAAUAACAUUUACAGUAGAUUUAUAAAAGGAGCUAACGGGAAACUAGCACAUUUACAGUGACAUUUUUGUGUUGGAGAGAAAACCAACUGUGACUCCACGGGACCGAGGAUGCGGCCCAUCCUGUGACCAUGGACAGAUCGUUUUAUAACGAAAAGCUUUUAAAAGACUACAGUGUGGAACACAAAUCUGUACAUUUCUAGUGAAGGAUUCCCAAGCGAGUGACUGAAUUCCCAAAUUUUCUAUCUGCAUGUGAAAACUUGUGAUUGUCAUGUCAAGCCCCACGACUUCCAUUAGAUUCUAGAGGGUCGGUAGAAAGUGGGGUUCAGCUUUCAUAUUUCGACCUGUUCCUGACCUGUGAAACAGCACUUCAGCCCAGAGGACGUGACCCAGAGACGUGCAUGCAUGACUGUUGUUCCCCGAGCCCUGAUAGUGAGGCCUUGUACAAGGAAUUUUAAUACAUUUUGUAAAUAAAAAAGAAAAAAAAAAACUGAA